CGGAGUCAAGCUUGAGGUGUUACUAAACUUAUCUUACCUUUUAAACAACUCUAAACCACUUAUUUUAAUUUUCGAAAUAAACUGUUUUUCUGCGUCAUGGUUUCUUAAAAAUUCAUUUCUUGAGUUUCAAAACUCAAAAUUAAGCUCCAUAAAUUUUUUCUGAAGCUAGACUCAUAUAUCUAUCUAAUAAUUUUUUUCUAGAAUUUUUGACUUGGCCAAUUAGUACAGUUUAUUAGUUAAAGUUUCCACUGUUUCAAAACUCGACUACACUGACCUCUUCUUACUACGAACCAUGUUUCUUCCUUUAAAAAAUUCAUAUGAUUAAACCGUUUAUUUAUAUUAAAACUAGAUUCAACAAGGAUUCUAACCAUAUAAAUUAAACCUUCUAAUUAGUUUUUU
rnacentral:lncRNA from 1 species